AUUGAACGCUGGCGGAAUGCUUUACACAUGCAAGUCGAACGGCAGCACGGACUUCGGUCUGGUGGCGAGUGGCGAACGGGUGAGUAAUGUAUCGGAACGUGCCCAGUCGUGGGGGAUAACGUAGUGAAAAUUACGCUAAUACCGCAUACGAUCUAUGGAUGAAAGCGGGGGAUCGCAAGACCUCGCGCGAUUGGAGCGGCCGAUAUUAGAUUAGGUAGUUGGUGGGGUAAAGGCCCACCAAGCCAGCGAUCUGUAGCUGGUCUGAGAGGACGACCAGCCACACUGGAACUGAGACACGGUCCAGACUCCUACGGGAGGCAGCAGUGGGGAAUUUUGGACAAUGGGCGAAAGCCUGAUCCAGCCAUUCCGCGUGCAGGAUGAAGGCCCUCGGGUUGUAAACUGCUUUUGUACAGAACGAAAAGGUUUCUACUAAUACUAGGAGCUCAUGACGGUACUGUAAGAAUAAGCAUCGGCUAACUACGUGCCAGCCGCCGCAGUAA
rnacentral:rRNA from 1 species